rnacentral:antisense_RNA from 1 species
CCUAGCUCCUUCAUGUAUUCAUCAAAGCCUUUGCUGUCCACCAGGCGCCAUCUUCCUUCCAGCUGCUGAACUGUGGCCAUGGGUACGCGACGGCCUCUCGGGCUCCUCCUGCAAGCAGGGACUCGCCUGGCGCGCCCCACGCCUCCUGGACGCCGGCGCCUGCACGUUUCGGCGCUUCUGCAGGCCCAGGAAGCCAGAGGGGUCACCUGGAGGCCCGGCCCCGCCUCUCCUGCACCCCUCCGUUUGACAACAUAUCCACCGCCGUUUUUCCUUUCAAAAUACCCGGACCAAUCGAUUAGCCCUCGCCGGACUUGGACUGCAGGAAGUGAUUGAUCGGCUGAUUGGUUUAUUGAUUCAUUAACUACGGUGCCUCCCUGACCUUCUGCUCCUCGGACAGAGGACAAGCUCACAAUCCACACCCUCCUGAGAGAACCUGCUCUCGCCAUCCGCAGGUCUCCCUGGCCCAAUAGUGGGGACAUACCUGAGUUGAGCUAGAGGAUUUUAUCCCUGUUGGGAUGGGGGACGUCUCGGGAAGUGUGGUUUCUAAACUAAAAGACUGCAGGAAGUGUCAA